AUACGUAGGUGGCGAGCGUUGUCCGGAAUUACUGGGCGUAAAGGGUGCGUAGGCGGAUAAUCAAGUCAGAUGUGAAAGUCCAUGGCUCAACUGUGGGAGUGCAUUUGAGACUGAAGAUCUAGAGUGCAGGAGAGGGAAGCGGAAUUCCUAGUGUAGCGGUGAAAUGCGUAGAUAUUAGGAAGAACACCAGUGGCGAAGGCGGCUUUCUGGACUGUAACUGACGCUGAAGCACGAAAGCGUGGGGAGCAAACAGGCUUAGAUACCCUGGUAGUCCACGCUGUAGACGAUGAGUAUUAGGUGUAGGGGACGAUAGUCUUCUGUGCCGGAGCAAACGCAAUAAAUACUCCGCCUGGGGAGUACGGUCGCAAGACUAAA
rnacentral:rRNA from 1 species